UCCGAUGUGUCAGAUAUUGGUUUGUAAUAGUUAAAUAAUAGAAAGUUUAGAGUCCUUAUUUGGUUUUGAAGAUAAAUUAAUGUGACUAGUAAAGCGAGGGAUCCA